rnacentral:rRNA from 1 species
UAUGUUUACGACGGCGUGUCUGAGGCUCGCUGCAGACCUGAAGCUUGAUAUCGAAUUCGCGUGUCGCCCUUAGAGUUUGAUCCUGGCUCAGGACGAACGCUGGCGGCGUGCUUAACACAUGCAAGUCGAACGAUGAAGCCCUUCGGGGUGGAUUAGUGGCGAACGGGUGAGUAACACGUGGGCAAUCUGCCCUGCACUCUGGGACAAGCCCUGGAAACGGGGUCUAAUACCGGAUACUGACCACUGGGGGCAUCCUCGGUGGUCGAAAGCUCCGGCGGUGCAGGAUGAGCCCGCGGCCUAUCAGCUUGUUGGUGAGGUAGUGGCUCACCAAGGCGACGACGGGUAGCCGGCCUGAGAGGGCGACCGGCCACACUGGGACUGAGAUACGGCCCAGACUCCUACGGGAGGCAGCAGUGGGGAAUAUUGCACAAUGGGCGAAAGCCUGAUGCAGCGACGCCGCGUGAGGGAUGACGGCCUUCGGGUUGUAAACCUCUUUCAGCAGGGAAGAAGCGAAAGUGACGGUACCUGCAGAAGAAGCGCCGGCUAACUACGUGCCAGCAGCCGCGGUAAUACGUAGGGCGCGAGCGUUGUCCGGAAUUAUUGGGCGUAAAGAGCUCGUAGGCGGCUUGUCACGUCGGUUGUGAAAGCCCGGGGCUUAACCCCGGGUCUGCAGUCGAUACGGGCAGGCUAGAGUUCGGUAGGGGAGAUCGGAAUUCCUGGUGUAGCGGUGAAAUGCGCAGAUAUCAGGAGGAACACCGGUGGCGAAGGCGGAUCUCUGGGCCGAUACUGACGCUGAGGAGCGAAAGCGUGGGGAGCGAACAGGAUUAGAUACCCUGGUAGUCCACGCCGUAAACGGUGGGCACUAGGUGUGGGCAACAUUCCACGUUGUCCGUGCCGCAGCUAACGCAUUAAGUGCCCGCCUGGGGAGUACGGCCGCAAGGCUAAACUCAAAGGAAUUGACGGGGGCCG